CCUACGGGUGGCAGCAGUGGGGAAUAUUGCACAAUGGGGGAAACCCUGAUGCAGCGACGCCGCGUGAGUGAAGAAGUAUUUCGGUACGUAAAGCUCUAUCAGCAGGGAAGAAAAUGACGGUACCUGACUAAGAAGCCCCGGCUAACUACGUGCCAGCAGCCGCGGUAAUACGUAGGGGGCAAGAGUUAUCCGGAUUUACAGGGUGUAAAGGGAGCGUAGACGGCAGCGCAAGUCUGGAGUGAAAUCCCAUGGCUUAACCAUGGAACUGCUUUGGAAACUGUGCAGCUAGAGUGCAGGAGAGGUAAGCGGAAUUCCUAGUGUAGCGGUGAAAUGCGUAGAUAUUAGGAGGAACACCAGUGGCGAAGGCGGCUUACUGGACUGUAACUGACGUUGAGGCUCGAAAGCGUGGGGAGCAAACAGGAUUAGAUACCCCAGUAGUC
rnacentral:rRNA from 1 species